AUUGAACGCUGGCGGCAGGCUUAACACAUGCAAGUCGAGCGAGCGGCGGACGGGUGAGUAAUGUCUGGGAAACUGACUGAUGGAGGGGGAUAACUACUGGCAACGGUAGCUACUACCGCAUACCAUCAGAUGAGCCCAGAUGGGAUUAGCUAGUAGGGGGGGUAAUGGCUCACAUAGGCGACGAUCCCUAGCUGGUCUGCGAGGAUGACCAGCCAAACUGGAACUGUGACACGGUCCAGACUCCAACGUGAGGCAGCAGUGGGGAAUAGUGCACAAUGGGCGCAAGCCUGAUGCAGCCAUGCCGCGUGUGUGAAGAAGGCUUUCGGGUUGUAAAGCACUUUCAGCGAGGAGGCGUUACUCGCAGAAGAAGCACCGGCUAACUCCGUGCCAGCAGCCGCGGUAAUAC
rnacentral:rRNA from 1 species